UCGAGGCUAGUGUGUCACCAUCCUACUUACGAUUUUUAAUGUUAUUCAUUGCUAGUCAAAAGGUCAUUUGCUGUUUUUAAAGCUAUAUUUUGGGGCCUCAAGAUCAUUCUUUCAGCGUUCAAGCCAAUCAAGAUGUGAAGCAAAAAGCUCGUAAGAAAAAAUUCAAGCCAUCCUCGAUCUCAACCAGAUCCUACCCUCUCUCAACAAAACAAAAGCAUCUAGGAAGAUAUAAAUUCAACCAUAAGACACUUAGUAACCUCACCUGUCACCUCAUCAUUAAGUAUACAUAAUUAUAUACAUGUUUAUUUUUGCUUGUGUGUAUACACUGUAGUUUUGCAACCACUUACUUUAAACAUUAUAUAAUAUAAUUUAUUGA